UGUCCAGGGAUGGGAAUCGAACCCACAGUGUUCUGCUUACCGGGCAGAUGCCAUGUCGACUAGGCUUC
rnacentral:tRNA from 1 species